rnacentral:rRNA from 1 species
UACGGAGGGGGUUAGCGUUGUUCGGAAUUAUUGGGCGUAAAGCGUGCGCAGGCGGUUUAGUAAGUCGGAAGUGAAAGCCUUGGGCUCAACGCAAGAAUUGCUUUCGAAACUGCUAGACUUGAGUAUUGGAGGGGAUAGCGGAAUUCCUAGUGUAGGGGUGAAAUUCGUAGAUAUUAGGAGGAACACCGGUGGCGAAAGCGGCUAUCUGGACAAUAACUGACGCUGUGGCACGAAAGCGUGGGGAGCAAACAGG